rnacentral:rRNA from 1 species
GGUUAAGCGACUAAGCGUACACGGUGGAUGCCCUGGCAGUCAGAGGCGAUGAAGGACGUGCUAAUCUGCGAUAAGCGUCGGUAAGGUGAUAUGAACCGUUAUAACCGGCGAUUUCCGAAUGGGGAAACCCAGUGUGAUUCGUCACACUAUCAUUAACUGAAUCCAUAGGUUAAUGAGGCGAACCGGGGGAACUGAAACAUCUAAGUACCCCGAGGAAAAGAAAUCAACCGAGAUUCCCCCAGUAGCGGCGAGCGAACGGGGAGCAGCCCAGAGCCUGAAUCAGUGUGUGUGUUAGUGGAAGCGUCUGGAAAGGCGCGCGAUACAGGGUGACAGCCCCGUACACAAAAAUGCACAUGCUGUGAGCUCGAUGAGUAGGGCGGGACACGUGGUAUCCUGUCUGAAUAUGGGGGACCAUCCUCCAAGGCUAAAUACUCCUGACUGACCGAUAGUGAACCAGUACCGUGAGGGAAAGGCGAAAAGAACCCCGGCGAGGGGAGUGAAAAAGAACCUGAAACCGUGUACGUACAAGCAGUGGGAGCACGCUUAGGCGUGUGACUGCGUACCUUUUGUAUAAUGGGUCAGCGACUUAUAUUCUGUAGCAAGGUUAACCGAAUAGGGGAGCCGAAGGGAAACCGAGUCUUAACUGGGCGUUAAGUUGCAGGGUAUAGACCCGAAACCCGGUGAUCUAGCCAUGGGCAGGUUGAAGGUUGGGUAACACUAACUGGAGGACCGAACCGACUAAUGUUGAAAAAUUAGCGGAUGACUUGUGGCUGGGGGUGAAAGGCCAAUCAAACCGGGAGAUAGCUGGUUCUCCCCGAAAGCUAUUUAGGUAGCGCCUCGUGAAUUCAUCUCCGGGGUAGAGCACUGUUUCGGCAAGGGGGUCAUCCCGACUUACCAACCCGAUGCAAACUGCGAAUACCGGAGAAUGUUAUCACGGGAGACACACGGCGGGUGCUAACGUCCGUCGUGAAGAGGGAAACAACCCAGACCGCCAGCUAAGGUCCCAAAGUCAUGGUUAAGUGGGAAACGAUGUGGGAAGGCCCAGACAGCCAGGAUGUUGGCUUAGAAGCAGCCAUCAUUUAAAGAAAGCGUAAUAGCUCACUGGUCGAGUCGGCCUGCGCGGAAGAUGUAACGGGGCUAAACCAUGCACCGAAGCUGCGGCAGCGACGCUUAUGCGUUGUUGGGUAGGGGAGCGUUCUGUAAGCCUGUGAAGGUGUGCUGUGAGGCAUGCUGGAGGUAUCAGAAGUGCGAAUGCUGACAUAAGUAACGAUAAAGCGGGUGAAAAGCCCGCUCGCCGGAAGACCAAGGGUUCCUGUCCAACGUUAAUCGGGGCAGGGUGAGUCGACCCCUAAGGCGAGGCCGAAAGGCGUAGUCGAUGGGAAACAGGUUAAUAUUCCUGUACUUGGUGUUACUGCGAAGGGGGGACGGAGAAGGCUAUGUUGGCCGGGCGACGGUUGUCCCGGUUUAAGCGUGUAGGCUGGUUUUCCAGGCAAAUCCGGAAAAUCAAGGCUGAGGCGUGAUGACGAGGCACUACGGUGCUGAAGCAACAAAUGCCCUGCUUCCAGGAAAAGCCUCUAAGCAUCAGGUAACAUCAAAUCGUACCCCAAACCGACACAGGUGGUCAGGUAGAGAAUACCAAGGCGCUUGAGAGAACUCGGGUGAAGGAACUAGGCAAAAUGGUGCCGUAACUUCGGGAGAAGGCACGCUGAUAUGUAGGUGAAGUCCCUCGCGGAUGGAGCUGAAAUCAGUCGAAGAUACCAGCUGGCUGCAACUGUUUAUUAAAAACACAGCACUGUGCAAACACGAAAGUGGACGUAUACGGUGUGACGCCUGCCCGGUGCCGGAAGGUUAAUUGAUGGGGUCAGCGCAAGCGAAGCUCUUGAUCGAAGCCCCGGUAAACGGCGGCCGUAACUAUAACGGUCCUAAGGUAGCGAAAUUCCUUGUCGGGUAAGUUCCGACCUGCACGAAUGGCGUAAUGAUGGCCAGGCUGUCUCCACCCGAGACUCAGUGAAAUUGAACUCGCUGUGAAGAUGCAGUGUACCCGCGGCAAGACGGAAAGACCCCGUGAACCUUUACUAUAGCUUGACACUGAACAUUGAGCCUUGAUGUGUAGGAUAGGUGGGAGGCUUAGAAGUGUGGACGCCAGUCUGCAUGGAGCCGACCUUGAAAUACCACCCUUUAAUGUUUGAUGUUCUAACGUUGACCCGUAAUCCGGGUUGCGGACAGUGUCUGGUGGGUAGUUUGACUGGGGCGGUCUCCUCCUAAAGAGUAACGGAGGAGCACGAAGGUUGGCUAAUCCUGGUCGGACAUCAGGAGGUUAGUGCAAUGGCAUAAGCCAGCUUGACUGCGAGCGUGACGGCGCGAGCAGGUGCGAAAGCAGGUCAUAGUGAUCCGGUGGUUCUGAAUGGAAGGGCCAUCGCUCAACGGAUAAAAGGUACUCCGGGGAUAACAGGCUGAUACCGCCCAAGAGUUCAUAUCGACGGCGGUGUUUGGCACCUCGAUGUCGGCUCAUCACAUCCUGGGGCUGAAGUAGGUCCCAAGGGUAUGGCUGUUCGCCAUUUAAAGUGGUACGCGAGCUGGGUUUAGAACGUCGUGAGACAGUUCGGUCCCUAUCUGCCGUGGGCGCUGGAGAACUGAGGGGGGCUGCUCCUAGUACGAGAGGACCGGAGUGGACGCAUCACUGGUGUUCGGGUUGUCAUGCCAAUGGCACUGCCCGGUAGCUAAAUGCGGAAGAGAUAAGUGCUGAAAGCAUCUAAGCACGAAACUUGCCCCGAGAUGAGUUCUCCCUGACUCCUUGAGAGUCCUGAAGGAACGUUGAAGACGACGACGUUGAUAGGCCGGGUGUGUAAGCGCAGCGAUGCGUUGAGCUAACCGGUACUAAUGAACCGUGAGGCUUAACCUU